GAGAUUGCCGGCGGCAGCUGGGCUGCAGCUGCUGAUGUCCGGCACCUUUUCGAUGAUCUUCGGACCGCUGAUUGGCUUAAUCCGGGAUCACACCA
ensembl:ncRNA sncRNA:763 small non-coding RNA 763